UCGAUGUUUCUCAGUUUCGUUUGGGGUGAUGGGCCUCCUCUGUGGGCCGUCAUGCUUGGCGGGCUUUUUACUGUGUUUGCAUCUGGCUUCGGGUGUGUUCCAGAAGUUUCGUGGAUGGGGUUCGAGUCGAGGUGGUUCGGCCGUUCGGGUUCUUAGCGGCGGUGGGGGAUCAAUGGAGGUGGAGGUUCUUGCUGGUCUCGCGUCGCCUCGACCGCUGCACCUCGACCACGCGGCCCCGCCCGUCCAUCCUCGGCCAGCGCGCGGCGGAUGCGGGCACAGUGUUGAACGACCUCCUCCGCCGGCGUCUGUCGCCCUCCUCCCGGGUCAUCGCCGUCGCCCAUCCCCGUCGCGGCGCGGGAAGCGUCGACUGCUUCGAGAAGCCGGAACAGAUCGGGGAGGGCACAUACGGGCAAGUGUACAUGGCGAAGGAGACGGAGACUAAGGAGAUCGUCGCGCUUAAGAAGAUCCGCAUGGACAACGAGCGUGAGGACUUCCCUAUCACGGCCAUCCGCGAGAUCAAAAUCCUUAACAGCUCGUUUCGUACCCAUCAUUUGAGCUUAGAAUUCAGGAAUUCAUUUCGAUUUCAGAAACAAACUUGUUUGGUUGGCACGGAAUUGGCCACGGCAAUUCAAUCUCAAAUUUCAUGGAAUUGUACUAUAGCCAAUCCUAAUUCCUCUCCAAAAGCCGUCAUUUCUCUGGAAUUGUCUCUCGCUCUACAAAUCCAUAUGGUAGACAAACAUGAUUUUUGAACAAUGAAUUCAAAUUCAACCAAAUAAAAUCCUAUCAAAAAUUGGAUUUCAUUUCAUUUCUACCAAAUGAAAUGAAAUGAUGGUUACCAAACGGGCUGUAACAGUAAGUUUGGAUGUUGAUAUUGGAGCAUGGAAUUCGGAAUUGGCAUUAGGUUUCCUCAAUUCUGAUGUUUGGUUGUCCUCAGAAUUCAGAGUUGGUAUUUGCAGCUCAUUUCCGUGGAAUUGGGCUACAACUAAAAGAAACCCUUCACAAUACCGAGCUCUUCCCCUCCGUAUUGAGAGGAAUUGGAGCCGACUGCAACCUUUCGCUGCUGUCCCGUACCAUCGCCGGAGGUUCGCCGCCGACCAUGUCGACCACCACCGGAGGUUCGCCGCCAACCACCGCCGGUUACGCCGCAGUCGGCCGGCACCACGCCGGAGUUUCUGUGCCGACCACCACCGUUGGAGAUUCGUUGCUGACUGCAGCCGCCACAGUUGGAGCGGGUGGUGCGGGAGAAGAUGAUGGUGGAGGAGAAACAGCAGGCGGCGUUUAGCGAGCAGGCGGCCAUGGAGGACAUCCUUGACGAGCUUCGAUUCAUGAGACUAAAUCAAUUGAUUCGUACGUGCGUGUUCGAACAAAUCAAUCCACCAUUGGAUGCAUGCGGCAGAAUACUAGUAUCGUUAAUUGAUUAAUUCGUGAGUGGUAGAGAGGUGGGCAGCGGCGCGGAGAGGUCCGCCGUGCGGGCAGAUGGCCGGCCAGAGGGGCGGCAGGAUGAGCAGCAAGCGCGGUGAAAGGAGGAGAAGAUGGGCCAAUUCAGCGGAUAGACACCCAAACAGAAAUUGGAAUUUGUUAUAUACGGUGAUUCCAAAUAACGAAUUCAUCGACAACCAAACACCAAAAUUGACAUUUGAGCCCAUUUCAAUACAGAGGCUGAUUUGGUAUUGAGCCCAAUUCAAUUCCAAGGCUUCCAAUACAUACAUCCAAACGAAGCCAAGAAGCUGCACCACCAGAACGUCAUCCAGCUCAAGGAGAUCGUAACAUCACCAGGUUUCAGUUUUGAUAAACAACACCAAGAAUUACAACAUCUUAUCGGGUUGUUAACUGUCUGAGUCCAGAGGACUGAUGGUGUAGAUUAAUUGUGGCAGGGCCAGAGAGAGACGAGCAGGGGAAGCAAAGUAUGGUUUAAUCUAAAAACGACAUUAACGUUUUUUACUUGUUCUCUAAAAUCCAAAUAAAUGGUUUUUUGCCUUGAUUUAUCAUUUGACCUGUUGCUUUUAUGUGAGAUAGUUGACAGCAACAUGUACAAAGGGAGCAUUUACAUGGUCUUUGAGUACAUGGUGGAGAGAAGAAAAUUGGUCAGUUCGGUCCACAUCGUCACUGUGGGUAGACUUUGGAUUCCCUAUUUGUUCAGGUAUGAAAUAAUAUUUUCCUGCAGGCAUCAAAAGUAAUUUUAGGAUGACAGAGAUGGAUCACCCCAUUGUUAUACUUUCAUUUGUUUUUGUUUUUUGCACGAACAACUUCUGCCCCAUUUCUUAGAUGAUCUUUAAAAUGUAAUUUUGAAGGAUGUUGGAUAUACUAUAUCUUGAUCUUCCUUUUAUCUAAUUUUAUUUUCAUGUAGCUUGAUCUUUAGUUUACAGGGCUGAUGACUGGGAUCCAUAUUUCAGUGAGGGUAGAAGUACGUUCAGUUACAUAUCUUUCCAGUCUCAUGGCUCCUUUUUACAUUCAUAUAUCAUGUGGUUUACUGCUCAAAUGAAUGAUUAAUAUAUUGUGGUUUACUGCAAUGUGAUAUCUUUGUACGUUAUCUUUCAAUGCAGUUAUAUUGUCUCGAUUGACACUUGAAAUUUGACCAUUCAUCCAUCACAUAUAGGUCUUUGCAAGAUGGUAACGAGCGCCAAAAUUAUUUUUUUGGCACUAAGCAAGUAAGCUUUUCUGCUUAGACAAUUUUGAUAGUCCCGGCCUCCUCUCUCUUAUAUUACCAUAUAUCUUGCUACUAAUUUUUAUGCUUGGCUUUAUUGAUUAUGGCUUCAUGGUAACCUCUCUCUACUGCUUAGUACAGUACUACUAUAUUAGGCUGCAGCAUUGGUUUCAACGAGUUUAUCAAACCACUACUUCGUUACUGUUUUCCUCCAUGAAUAAAAUGCCUGGAACCACUUGCAUUUUUGCUUAGAAACUGUAAUCAAAGAUAGAUAUGGUUGGUUCAUCGUCCUGGGUUACUAGAUGGUUACGACGACAUGAAGUAUAAACGUGUGGAGCGUUUUUGGUGUUGUAGGCCGUGGCUGUGUUUGAUAGGAAGAGUGAGAUUCGAUCCUGCAAUACAGAGCAGGAACCACACAGGUGCGUUCUUAAUUAGCUAAUUGUAUGAUAUGGAGUGAAGGUUGCAUCUCAUCACCUAAUUAAGAAGUCUUGAUGUGAGUUCCUGAAAUUUGUUCUGUAGGACACUUGGCUAUUAUUCAUGUACUAGAUUGUUAUAUUCUUCUUGACAAGUUAUCAUGAGAUCUGAUAGUAUUCACGGUGUACUAUAAAUUGAUAAUACCAUCGUCUAGGUUUAUAGAAAUGAGCAUAGCCUACUCCAAAAAAGAACAAGAAAUAAUCAGAAUCUUGGUGUACAGGAUUUCAUGUACAAAUACUUUUCCUCCUGGCACUGGGCAUGUCAGAAUUCUUCCCAAAUUACUUCGACAUGUAAUUCUUCCCAGCGUUCCAGGUGAUCAAUCCAGCCCGAACAAAUUAGGAGAGAAUAACCAUGAGCAAGUGAUAGAUAACAGGACCAAAAAACAAUUCAGGCUCACGUAAACCACAGACCCAGAUCAGUCGAUGCAGCGAAGGUUAACUUGUCUAGCUACAAGAAUGAAAGGGCGGAGUAUUCUUGCCCUCUCAGUGCCGCUACAUGGUGCUUCCCUCACCAUUUGUUUAUGUCGCAAUUUACGGCCCGAAUGCCACCGACGAACUGACCCCAACAGCCCAACAGCCCAACUCACCCGAGCCCAGCGCCCCAGCCGGCCAGCCCCUACUCCCCAGCAUCAGUCUCUCCAUCUCCCUCUCUCUCCGCAGCUAGGGCUCAAGACUCCUCUGCCACUACCCUCCGGGUCUGCCGCCUACCCUCCUUCGCGUCCAACUCCUUCCCCACUGCCCUCGGCCUCUCCACAAUUGAGCUUUCACUGCCAGCCGCCGCUCCUCGGGAUCCCAUUGUCGGUCGCCCGGCCUCUGCAUGAUCUUCCACCGCCGGCUGGCGCUCCCUGAGAUGCCACUGCAGGCCACCGGGCGCCUCCCUCGCUGCCGCAGCCUGGCCGCUGCACGAGCUUCCCCCGCUGGCUGCCGCUCCCCUAUAUCCUGCCACCGUCCAUUGCUCGCCUCCAUCGCUGUCGUCGUCGUCUGCUGGCUUCUGCCGCCGGCUCAUCCUGACUUGCAUAUUACUCAGGUAACAUAAGUGUAUUUUGCCGCUGUUGGCCACUGAACAUGGAACUUCACUAUUAAGUUUCCUUUGCAAAUGGGUUACAUUUACAUAGUAGCACAGUUUCAAUCCAGAUGUUUAGAGUUCAGAUGCAUGUGGCCAAAAUAGAUCUCAGUUAGUCGCUGCCUCCUCGUGUCUAUAGACCUCGCAAACACUGCAGCUGCCUACCAUGAAUCUGUGACAGGGAUACAAUGAGCUUCCAGGUCUUACUUCUGUAGUCUGUGCUUGCCGAUUUUUUAAACCCCAUGUAAGACUUGAGGUCUGGGUGCAGAAGAAUUUUAGGCAGACGGUGAUGGCUGUAAACAGCAGUUGUUGGUGUCUCCAAGCAAGUCUGCUAGGUUUUCUUUUAUCUACCUCUUUAUGAUCUGGCAUUUUCUUUAGUUUCUUGGUCUAUAUUUUUAUGAGCUGAUCUCCUCUUUAAUUACUACCUAUUUGGUCUUGGGAUUUUGAUUUUUUUUUAGAGGCAGCUGAGGCUGUCAACUUUGCUUCAUAUAGUUCCCUGUGCUCGAAAGGGGGCUUCUUGAUAGUUCAGUCGAUCAAUUGAGUGGUUGCGGCAGGGAGGAGGCGAGGACUGGGUUGUCGAAGAUGAACUAGGUUAUUAUUCUGUGGAAGCUCUAUCGGGAUCGGUAUUGAAAGUUCUACCUAGGUGAAUUUCUCUUCAUCUUCAUUGUUUAGGCCAUGUGGUGCUAUGAGAAAGUUCUGCUUUUUGUUUAGGCCAUCUUUGGUAUACAAGAUUUUGCAGGAGUUUGGGCCUUGGCAGGCUUCUAGACUGAGAGUAUGCUAUUUGGUAUCAUACUUAUUUAUUCUUAUUAUAGAGAAAAUGAGAUAGGAUCUCAAGAAUACUUUAUGUACCAUGCAAAAAUGAAUUUAUGAAUUGUUUGAGGUCAACCUGUUGUAAUAUAAUAAAUUCCUUA